UACGGAGGGUGCGAGCGUUAAUCGGAAUUACUGGGCGUAAAGAGUGCGUAGGUGGUUAAUUAAGUUAUCUGUGAAAUCCCUGGGCUCAACCUGGGCAGGUCAGAUAAUACUGGUUAACUCGAGUAUGGGAGAGGGUAGUGGAAUUUCCGGUGUAGCGGUGAAAUGCGUAGAGAUCGGAAGGAACACCAGUGGCGAAGGCGGCUACCUGGCCUAAUACUGACACUGAGGCACGAAAGCGUGGGGAGCAAACAGG
rnacentral:rRNA from 1 species